CUGCCCAAUCAUGGGAUGAAAAUUUAGACCUCCUCAUGUAUAUGCUACGCAGUGUACCUAAUGAUUCGACUGGUGUAUCACCCUUCGAACUUAUGUUUGGCAGGAAACCACGAACAACGCUAAGUAUGGAGAAAAUGUCCAACCUUUACAACAGGAAAACAAAGCUGCGAGAAUUCAACAUUGGCGACCAGGUUCUGGUUUAUCAUCCGAUACCAGGUGCACCCUUAAGAGAGAAAUUUAUGGGACCCUAUACCAUCGCCAGUAGACCUUCCAAAUUAAACUAUAUAAUCUCCACACCUGACCGACGACGUCCUACUCAAAUGAUGCCAGUGCUACCGGCUAUGGAGCAGUCCUGCUGCAAACAUCCACUCCCACAAUUCCAGAAGAGGACAUAACUCUAGACUCCCUCCUACCCAUCGCCUACUACUCAGGGUAUUUCCGGGGAGCACAGACUCGAUGGGCUACCAUCGAGAAAGAGCUGUAUGCCAUAAUAGCAGCUCUUCAGCAUUUCUCACCAUACCUCGAGGGUCAUCAGAAAGUAAUAAUUUACACAGACCAUCGUCCUUUAGUGUAUUUGGAACG